rnacentral:rRNA from 1 species
GACGAACGCUGGCGGCGUGCUUAACACAUGCAAGUCGAACGGAAAGGCCCUGCUUUUGUGGGGUGCUCGAGUGGCGAACGGGUGAGUAACACGUGAGUAACCUGCCCUUGACUUUGGGAUAACUUCAGGAAACUGGGGCUAAUACCGGAUAGGAGCUCCUGCUGCAUGGUGGGGGUUGGAAAGUUUCGGCGGUUGGGGAUGGACUCGCGGCUUAUCAGCUUGUUGGUGGGGUAGUGGCUUACCAAGGCUUUGACGGGUAGCCGGCCUGAGAGGGUGACCGGGCACAUUGGGACUGAGAUACGGCCCAGACUCCUACGGGAGACAGCAGUGGGGAAUAUUGCACAAUGGGCGGAAGCCUGAUGCAGCAACGCCGCGUGCGGGAUGACGGCCUUCGGGUUGUAAACCGCUUUCGCCUGUGACGAAGCGUGAGUGACGGUAAUGGGUAAAGAAGCACCGGCUAACUACGUG